GUGCCACUCAAUGCCGGGACCUCCACAAGGCCUUGGUCGUCUAUUAUUGAAGGAGAAAAGCAAGCUAUAAAACGGACUGUGGACUGACAUUUGUUCAAAGAACGAAUGAAUGAAGAUGUCUCUGUGUUCAUCUGCAUGGGACCAGCUGAAGCCGUGGGCUGUGGGCCUUGCAGCCAUGCACGUGGGCAUGCAGCGAGGGAGCAUGGCUGAUGCUUCACACGAUUUGAAAGAAAGAUAUAACCCUCCAGCUUUUUCAAGUCCCUAAAGAUUUCUCUCUUGAACAGCAUUAGGCUACAUCCACAGAACUUUUUUU